rnacentral:snoRNA from 1 species
CUACAAUGAUGACACUCAUAUUUUGUUACCUAUUUUUUCUGGCAUCUCUAAUGCUAGAGCAGCGACGUUUAAGUACUUUCCUGCUCGAUGAAUAUAAACAAAUGACUACAAGACUGACA